UUUUUUUGGGUAAAGGAGGGUACUGAAAGUGAGGCCAAAGGAAAGCCGAAGUGCAAGUCACCGGAGAGAACUUGAGUUUUCCAGUGGUGGUGAAGGUGUGUUUGCCAUCAUUGGUUUUGGACUUGAAGACUAUCUUUGAGGACUCAAGGCCACUGUGGGUAGGGCAUGGUGCAGAUGAUGCACUGUGAAGCUGUGCAUAGCACUCUUCUUUCAAUUUUCCGUCUUCAAAGAUUUCCUUAGGAAGAGAGACUUUGAAUUUUCCUUGUUCGUUGAGCUCUCCAGCAGCUCUUGUUUUGAACUCUCCAUUUGUAGGCUUGCAGUCGAUGGUUACGCGAAGCCCUGAAAAAGCUUGACUAGUCUCUAUAUUACUCUCUGCACAAUCUGCACACUCUCCAAUCCCAACAACCUCAAGCACUGUCUUAUCGCCGCCAUAGCAG
rnacentral:misc_RNA from 1 species